AUUGAACGCUGGCGGCAGGCCUAACACAUGCAAGUCGAACGAGUGGCGGACGGGUGAGUAAUGUCUGGGAAACUGCCUGACGGAGGGGGAUAACUACUGGAAACGGUAGCUAAUACCGCAUACCAUCGGAUGUGCCCAGAUGGGAUUAGCUAGUAGGUGGGGUAAAGGCUCACCUAGGCGACGGUCCCUAGCUGGUCUGAGAGGUUGACCAGCCACACUGGAACUUGGACACGUACCAGACUCCUACGGGAGGCAGCAGUGGGGAAUAUUGCACAAUGGGCGCAAGCCUGAUGAAGCAAUGCCGCGUGUAUGAAGAAGGCCUUCGGGUUGUAAAGUACUUUCGGCGGGGAGGCGUUAACCGCAGAGGAAGCACCGGCUAACUCCGUGCCAGCAGCCGCGGUGAUUC
rnacentral:rRNA from 1 species